rnacentral:rRNA from 1 species
UUGCCAGCCCGCUCAGAAACUCAAAGGAAGUUAGACGGGGCCCGCGACAAGCGGUGGAGUAUGUGGUUUAAUUCGAUGCAACGCGAAGAACCUUACCUGGUCUUGACAUCCCGGAGACCCUUAGGAAACUAGGGGGUGCUUCCAUCUGGAAGAAUCUGGAGACAGGUGCUGCAUGGCUGUCGUCAGCUCGUGUCGUGAGAUGUUGGGUUAAGUCCCGCAACGAGCGCAACCCUUGCCUUUAGUUGCCAGCAGUUCGGCUGGGCACUCUAAAGGGACUGCCGGUGUUAAACCGGAGGAAGGUGGGGAUGACGUCAAGUCCUCAUGGCCUUUAUGACCAGGGCUACACACGUACUACAAUGGCCGAUACAAAGGGCAGCGACACUGCGAGGUGAAGCCAAUCCCGUAAAAUCGGUCUCAGUCCGGAUUGGAGUCUGCAACUCGACUCCAUGAAGUUGGAAUCGCUAGUAAUCGUGGAUCAGCAUGCCACGGUGAAUACGUUCCCGGGCCUU